AAAUGAUUUUAAUUACAAAUCUGUCCCAUAGGUGCAGUGGUACCAAUGUCUGUGUGGAUCAAUUGUUCUUCAAUUUACCCCAAAACAUGUUUCUGCCAUGGUGACUACCAAGACUGGAACACAAUUCAAGUCUACAACCAAGGAUGAACCAGCGGCCCUGCACAUUGCAAGCAAGUGUCUUAACCACUAUACAAAACAACCAGCCAGCACAAUCUGGAAUGUCUGGAACCCCAACGACAACAGGUUCGGCAUCUGUUGUGUCUCCACUCAAGAAAAAAUUUAAGAAUUCAGCUCCUGUGGAUUCGGACAAGAUGGCGGACCCCAUUUCACUACUGCUACAACAACACCAGAAGGAGACUGCUGCCCUUAUUACAACAACCGUGAGUAACGCUGUACUAGAGAUUAAAAGUAGUCUGCAGGAGCAUCUGAACAUGAUUACUACUUUGAAAACCGAUCUGACUGCUCAUGUGGCAACUGUUUAGCAACUAGUUUCAAAGGUUGAUUCGGUACGAGGGGAGCUGAGAGAACAAAAGAAAACAGUUAAUAACUGUACUGCACGUCUCAAAAGCAUGGAGCGUAAAGUGGCAGAUCUGGAGGACAGGUCUCGCAGGAAUAAUAUUAGGCUAGUGGGUUUGCCGGAGGGAAUAGAAGGUGAGGACGCUGUCGACUUUUUGCAAGAUAUGCUGCCCAAAUGGUUUCCUGCUCUCUCCCAACGGAAAUUUGAAAUUGAAAGAGGGCACAGGAUCUAUGGACGCUUUGCCAGUGACAACCGCAAACCCAGAGUUGUUAUAUUCAAGCUACUUCGCUACACUGAUCGACAGCUCAUUCUGCAGGAAAGCAGGAAUGGUAACCCAAUUCGUGAAGCUGGUGGUAAUAUCCUGCGCUUCUAUGCAGAUUACAGUCCUGCCACAUCCCAACUCCGUAGAGCAUUUACUGAUGCAAGGAAAGCUAUGCGAGAUGCUGGUGUGCGUUCCUUCCUGAUUUAUCCGGAUACUUUAAAAGUGACGCACAAUAACACCCAGCACUCCUUCACGUCUGUGCAAGAGGCAGAAGAUUUUUUGAAGUCUAAUAUGGGCCUGCCGUUUAAAUCACUGACUAUCAGCAGUUAUCAGGACUAUGCAGUACAUAUAUGAAGAACCUUUUUAUUUUGUUACGGGUACCUUUUUUUUUUCAUCAGCUAUUGCAGCAUGUACCCACUUAUUUUUGGGACCUUAGCAUAAGGGGAUCAUUAUAUAUA